AUUCCUAUGGUUUCCUGCUUUUUUUGCUUUAAUACUCUUAGAGUUUAAAAAAUAUCACUUUUCUGCUUUAUAGUUUUAUUUUUCUCUUUUCGUUAUUUUCUACAUUAAUAUUUCCAUUAAAUCAGCGACAAAAUUAAAAUCACACGAUACUAAAAUAAAAAUUCGGUAAAUCAUAUGGUACUAAAGUAAUUAUUAGUUAAAUCAUAGGUGAGAUAGAAAGUUAAUGGAGGUACUGACGGAAAAAGAAAAAUAAAAUAACAAAAUACUAAAAUGAUACACUUUAAACCGUAUAGUAUUAAAAUAAAAAAACACAAAAAUACGGGGCGGUAUUGGAAGUUUAUCCUAUAAUAAUUUUGAUGAUAAGUGUCAAAUUUAAAUCAGACUAAUAUAUAAACUUUCUAAAUUAAAUAUAAAAUCUUUGGAGUUCCCCUAACAAUUAAUAUUUGGGUAAUGCUUGAGGCGUGAGUGGCAUGAAAAUGAGAAAUAAAAUUAGAUUGUAUUAGAAUUAAUAAAAAAAAUAGAAUGACGAAUUAUCCAACAAUAUUUGGUUUAUUUUUAAAAUAGAAAUUGAAAUGAAUAAUUAGGACACUCAGGAUUUUGAGAGAAAAAAUUUUAGCUAACGGAGAGGAAAGUGACAAAUGGAGAGGAGGGAAGUGUUUGUGAGAGAGAAUUUUGAGCAAUUUAUUCUAAAAUAAAAUAGUUAAAUUCAGGAAUCAAAAUCGGAUUUGGUUAUAAAUGAAUUAUAUCAUUUUCAUUUCAGAAUGAAAUAAAAAUCAAAUUUUGAUUCUUAUAAAAUAAAUAAUAAUUUUAAAAUG
rnacentral:lncRNA from 1 species